rnacentral:lncRNA from 1 species
CUCAACCUGAGGUAGAAGCCUCGAUUUAUGGAGAUGCUGUUAUAAAGAAUUUGCUUCUUGAAUUCGGGUGUUAGAAUAUUUUAUCAGAUUAUAUGGGUCUGUGAUGUGACUGAGGUGAUAUGCACAAAGGGGAUAAUGGACAGGAUAUAAAAAGGGAGCCUGUGGAUGGAAAGGAGAGUGCGGUCAGAGAAGACGGCGUGAAAUGAAAUCUUCAUUUUCCAGAGCAAGAGUUGGCCAGCUUUCUUCAUCGGUUUUACUCUCUCUCCAUGCAAACAGUCCAUAUGGAAAUGAUUUCUAAGCCAAAAUUUCUACUUCACUUUACAUAGGUAUCUUGUCC